GUACAGGGUGAUAGUCCCGUACACCAAAAUGCACAGGCUGUGAACUCGAAGAGUAGGGCGGGACACGUGGUAUCCUGUCUGAAUAUGGGGGGACCAUCCUCCAAGGCUAAAUACUCCUGACUGACCGAUAGUGAACCAGUACCGUGAGGGAAAGGCGAAAGAACCCCGGCGAGGGGAGUGAAAAAGAACCUGAAACCGUGUACGUACAAGCAGUGGGAGCACCUUCGGGUGUGACUGCGUACCUUUUGUAUAAUGGGUCAGCGACUUAUAUUCUGUAGCAAGGUUAACCGUAUAGGGGAGCCGCAGGGAAACCGAGUC
rnacentral:rRNA from 1 species